rnacentral:rRNA from 1 species
AUGAACGCUGGCGGCGUGCCUAAUACAUGCAAGUCGAGCGAACGGACGAGAAGCUUGCUUCUCUGAUGUUAGCGGCGGACGGGUGAGUAACACGUGGAUAACCUACCUAUAAGACUGGGAUAACUUCGGGAAACCGGAGCUAAUACCGGAUAAUAUUUUGAACCGCAUGGUUCAAAAGUGAAAGACGGUCUUGCUGUCACUUAUAGAUGGAUCCGCGCUGCAUUAGCUAGUUGGUAAGGUAGCGGCUUACCAAGGCAACGAUGCAUAGCCGACCUGAGAGGGUGAUCGGCCACACUGGAACUGAGACACGGUCCAGACUCCUACGGGAGGCAGCAGUAGGGAAUCUUCCGCAAUGGGCGAAAGCCUGACGGAGCAACGCCGCGUGAGUGAUGAAGGUCUUCGGAUCGUAAAACUCUGUUAUUAGUGAAGAACAUAUGUGUAAGUAACUGUGCACAUCUUGACGGUACCUAAUCAGAAAGCCACGGCUAACUACGUG